CCCUGGUCGUAAGGGCCAUGAUGACUUGACGUCAUCCCCACCUUCCUCCAGUUUAUCACUGGCAGUCUCCUUUGAGUUCCCGGCCGGACCGCUGGCAACAAAGGAUAAGGGUUGCGCUCGUUGCGGGACUUAACCCAACAUUUUCACAACACGAAGCUGACGACAGCCAUGCAA
rnacentral:rRNA from 1 species